rnacentral:lncRNA from 1 species
AUGUUACCAGUUCUGCUUCUAGUGCUCGUAUUUUGCUUUCAUAUGCAGAUUUUUGAGAAGAAAGUUCUUGCUGAGCCAUUUCUUUUGCAAUUUGGAUUCCUUGCAUCAUUUCUUCCUUUGCCUUCAACUGUGCUUCUUUUAUUUCUGCCUCAAGUCUACAAAGAAGAUAUUGACAGGGACAUCUUCUCAUCCUCUACGAACCUUCACUGAACCCUGGUGGGGAUCAGGUGUCACCUCAGAAGCUUCCACAUCACUCAGGAUAUGACUGUCAGCUCCAUGAGAUGAUGAAUUUCUCCAGAGUAGGGGCUAAUUUUCAAUUACUAUUCUUUGUAUACCCAGCAACUGGUACAGUGAAAGACACACACUAGAUGCUCAAUAAACUCUUGUUGAAUCAAUGAAUGUACCAUGAGAAAAAAAAAAAAUCACAUCACUAGAAAACAGCACCCAGCGCACGCCUGUAAUCCCAGCACAUGGGAGGCUAAGGCAGGAGGAUCACCACAAGUUUGAGGCCAGCCCAGGCUACAUAGUGAGUUCAAAGCCAGCCUGGACUACAUAUUGAGACCUGGUAUUAAAAAACAAAACAAAAAAAGAAACCAGCACCCAAAAAGUUAACUACUGGAGCCUCCUACAAUGUGAUUAAUUCUGUUGCAGGCUUCUCUCAUAUACUUACUAUUUCAUAUCAACAAUAAUACUUACUGUGAUCUCUGUGCCAUGAGUAACUCAUUUUUGGCAAAUUCAAAGUCUUUAGGACCCUCGUUUAUAAGAGUAUCUCUACUAGAUGGCCUUUUCCCUUUCUGGACUUCAGCUGGGUGAUUAAAUCUAAAAUAAUGAUCUCCACCAAGAAUCACCCGAUCACCCUAAAGCACACAAAAAAAUUUACUACUUGAGUGAAUCUGAACCCAAAAAAUUACAUGAGAAAAAUCAUUAUGUUAAAUAAUUCAAAAUGUUACAUUACUAAUAAGCAUAAAAAUCACAGCAAUUACCACUACUUUCU